UUAAUUAAUAAACAUAUG
rnacentral:guide_RNA from 1 species